CCCCGACUUUUGGGAGGGGCGCAUUUAUUAGAUAAAAGGCUGACGUGGGCUCUGCUCGCUGAUCCGAUGAUUCAUGAUAACUCGACGGAUCGCAUGGCCUUUGUGCCGGCCGCGCAUCAUUCAAAUUUCUGCCCUANNNNCUUUCGAUGGUAGGAUAGGGGGCUACCAUGGUGGUGACGGGUGACGGAGAAUUAGGGUUCGAUUC
rnacentral:ncRNA from 1 species